ensembl:snRNA U5 U5 spliceosomal RNA
AUACUCUGGUUUCUCUUCAAGUCGCACAAAUCUUUCGCCUUUUACUAAAGAUUUCCGUGGAGAGGAAACAACUCUGAGUCCUUAAAAAUUUUUUGAGGUCUCGUAUUUCACGAGACU